UAGUCCAUGCCGUAAACGAUGGAUACUAGCUGUCGGAGGACUAACCCCUUCGGUGGCGCAGCUAACGCGUUAAGUAUCCCGCCUGGGGAGUACGAUCGCAAGGUUGAAACUCAAAGGAAUUGACGGGGGCCCGCACAAGCGGUGGAGCAUGUGGAUUAAUUCGAUGCAACGCGAAGAACCUUACCUGGGCUUGAACUGUGUAUGACCACUUAAGAGAUUAAGUUUUCUAACUUGUUAGACAUAUAUAGAGGUGCUGCAUGGCUGUCGUCAGCUCGUGUCGUGAGAUGUUGGGUUAAGUCCCGGCAACGAGCGCAACCCUUAUCAUUAGUUGCCAGCGCGUCAUGGCGGGGACUCUAAUGAGACUGCCCGGGUUAACCGGGAGGAAGGUGGGGAUGACGUCAAGUCCUCAUGGCCCUUAUGUCCAGGGCUUCACACGUGCUACAAUGGUCAGAACAGAAUGUUGCUACUUCGCGAGAAGAUGCUAAUCAUUAAAUCUGGUCCU
rnacentral:rRNA from 1 species